AGAAGUCGAGGAAGGCCCAAGCUCAGAUGGUUGGACGGCGUCGAACAAGACAUCAAGACCUUGGGAAUAACAAGUUGGAGAAGGAAAGCCUCUAACAGAUCGGACUGGAGAGCUUUGCUGGACCAGGCUAAGGCCCACCCGCGGCUGUAAUGCCUCAGAUGAUGAUGAUGUAAAUGUUUUUUAGGG